UUGAAUUAAGCAUGUUUCUGGUUUAUACAAAGCUUUCGAGAAAAAGUUAAGUAGUUUUACAAAGCAGAAGGGUUCUCCGACUUACGAUGGAUGGGUGAAUUGCGUGCCAGAAAAGCUUGGGUGCGAGUGUCAACGAGGAAAAUUUCGAUCAAAGUACAGCAAAAGUACAAGAGAACAUGGUUGAGGAACACAGCUGAAAGAUGCGGUUGCUUUAAGCAGUACCUAAGACUUUGAUCAACAUUCUUCAAAAUGCAAAUCAAAUACAGGUUAUUGUCUGCACAUCUUGCAAUGGAUGUUUUGAUCGAGAACUUAUCGAGCAAAAAGACCCGCCAUGUACCUAUCCUGUCAUGACAUUAUUAAAGUACUCUGUGACAGUGGAAAGAUGUAAUUUAAAACAUGACAUGGCUCUAUCUUACUGCAUCAGAUAUCGAUCCAAGUUUACUUUUAAACCGAAGGAAAACAGUCAAGCAUCAUUUGGAAUGGAGCUACGUAUAUCACAGCCUUCACAAUAUGCCUGCUUACAUAACCAAGAAAGCACAGUGAACAGUUGUACCUAUGAUGUCAGACGAGAUCCUGAGAAUACUUUCAGUGCACUCAUUGCUACCUGCAAAGAAAUGAAAAUUUUAAGUGACUUGUAUCAACCAUUUUGUAUUUCAUCUGGCUUGUACGAAAAAUACUCAUUAUCCUUUAGCUUACUUCAAACAAAAUUUCAUUUGUAUCAUGUAGAUGAAAAAUGUUGAAAAAGUUUGUUUGUCCCAUAGGAAAUUCUCUUCCAAUUUAUAAUGAAUUAUCAGUGUAGUCAGGGGUUGAUUGGUGUCAGUUCCAUCGGCAAAGUACCGGGUAUUUGUAGCGGAAUGGUGCAAACUGCAAAAUGAAACACUUUUCAUGAGAACCU